UUGGAGGGCAAGUCUGGUGCCAGCAGCCGCGGUAAUUCCAGCUCCAAUAGCGUAUAUUAAAGUUGUUGCAGUUAAAAAGCCCGUAGUUGAACCUCGGGGUCUACCCAUUGGUCAGGCUUAAUUGUCUGCACUGGUGAGAUGGAUCUCUACCUCCUGAGGAACUUUCAUGCCAUUUAUUUGGUGUGAUGGGAAAUCAGGACCGUUACUUUGAAAAAAUUAGAGUGUUUAAAGCAGGC
rnacentral:rRNA from 1 species